GCCUACGGGCGGCAGCAGUGAGGAAUUUUCCACAAUGGGCGAAAGCCUGAUGGAGCGACGCCGCGUGAAGGAUGAAGCUUUUCGGAGUGUAAACUUCUUUUAUGUGGGAAGAUUAUGACGGUACCACAUGAAUAAGGACCGGCUAACUACGUGCCAGCAGCCGCGGUAAUACGUAGGGUCCGAGCGUUAUCCGGAAUUACUGGGCGUAAAGAGUUCGUAGGCGGAUUUUUAAGUCAGGUGUUAAAUAUGCAGGCUCAACUUGCAUGCUGCAUCUGAUACUGGAAGUCUUGAGAGUGGAAGAGGUAAGCGGAAUUUCCGGUGGAGCGGUAAAAUGCGUAGAUAUCGGAAAGAACACCAAUGGCGAAGGCAGCUUACUGGGCCAUUUCUGACGCUGAGGAACGAAAGCGUGGGGAGCGAUCGGGAUUAGAUACCCGUGUAGUCUU
rnacentral:rRNA from 1 species